rnacentral:rRNA from 1 species
AGAUUGAACGCUGGCGGCAGGCCUAACACAUGCAAGUCGAGCGGCAGCACGGGUACUUGUACCUGGUGGCGAGCGGCGGACGGGUGAGUAAUGCCUAGGAAUCUGCCUGAUAGUGGGGGAUAACGUUCGGAAACGGACGCUAAUACCGCAUACGUCCUACGGGAGAAGGUGGGGGAUCUUCGGACCUCACGCUAUCAGAUGAGCCUAGGUCGGAUUAGCUAGUUGGUAGGGUAAAGGCCUACCAAGGCUACGAUCCGUAACUGGUCUGAGAGGAUGAUCAGUCACACUGGAACUGAGACACGGUCCAGACUCCUACGGGAGCAGCGAGUAGGGGAAUAG